rnacentral:rRNA from 1 species
GACAGAGGAUGCAAGCGUUAUCCGGAAUGAUUGGGCGUAAAGCGUCUGUAGGUGGCUUUUUAAGUCCGCCGUCAAAUCCCAGGGCUCAACCCUGGACAGGCGGUGGAAACUACCAAGCUGGAGUACGGUAGGGGCAGAGGGAAUUCCCGGUGUAGCGGUGGAAUGCGUAGAGAUCGGGAAGAAUACCUGUGGCGAAGGCGGCCAGCUGGGCCAGAUCCGACACUGAGGCGCGAAAGCGUGGGGAGCAAACAGG